rnacentral:rRNA from 1 species
CCUACGGGUGGCUGCAGUGAGGAAUAUUGGUCAAUGGGCGAGAGCCUGAACCAGCCAAGUCGCGUGAGGGAGUACUGCCCUAUGGGUUGUAAACCUCUUUUGUCGGGGAGCAAAAGCCGGACGUUUCCGGCUGUGAGAGUACCCGAAGAAAAAGCAUCGGAUAACUCCGUGCCCGCAGCCGCGGUAAGACGGAGAGUGAGAGCUUUAUCCGGGUUUAUUGGGGUUAAAGGGUGCGCAGGCGGAUUUUUAAGUCAGCGGUAAAAUCGUGGGGCUCAACCCCAUCCAGCCGUUGAAACUGGGGUUCGAGAGUGUGCGAGAGGUAUGCGGAAUGCGUGGUGUAGCGGUGAAAUGCAUAGAUAUCACGCAGAACCCCGAUUGCGAAGGCAGCAGACCGGUGCACAACUGACGCUCAGGCACGAAAGCGUGGGUAUCGAACAGGAUUAGAUACCCUAGUAGUC